AUGACGGUACCGUUUGUAAGCUCCGGCUAACUCCGUGCCAGCAGCCGCGGUAAUACGGGGGGAGCAAGCGUUGUUCGGAUUUACUGGGCGUAAAGGGCGCGUAGGCGGUCAGUGCAAGUCAGUUGUGAGAUCUCCGGGCUUAACUCGGAAAGGUCAACUGAUACUGCUCGACUAGAGUGCGGAAGGGGCAACUGGAAUUCUUGGUGUAGCGGUGAAAUGCGUAGAUAUCAAGAGGAACACCUGCGGCGAAGGCGGGUUGCUGGGCCGACACUGACGCUGAGGCGCGAAAGCUAGGGGAGCGAACGGGAUUAGAUACCCCGGUAGUCCUAGCCUUAAACGAUGAAUGCUUGGUGUCUGGGGUUAUAAAGUCCCCGGGUGCCGUCGCUAACGCUUUAAGCAUUCCGCCUGGGGAGUACGGUCGCAAGACUGAAACUCAAAGGAAUUGACGGGGACCCGCACAAGCGGUGGAGCAUGUGGUUUAAUUCGACGCAACGCGAAGAACCUUACCUGGGCUAGAAUGCCCCUGACAACCCUAGAGAUAGGGCCUCCAAGGUAA
rnacentral:rRNA from 1 species